UCUGUUACAUUUAUGUUUUUGCCAGAUGUUUGAUCAUCAAGUGUUUUCCUAGAAAGUUCACAUAUAGUGUAAGUGUCAAACACUAGAACUUAUAGCUCUAACAUGAUAUAAUGAAUAUGAGAAGAAUGAAGCUGAUGCAGUGAAAGUGCUGGAUUGAGGAGAGUUACUAAAGAUCAACAAGAGCUGCUCAAAUCUGACUGUAGUGCAGGUUAUUUGCUGAAGUGUGGAGGUGAUGAGCUUUGAUUUCUGUUUUCUGUAGAGUUUCCAGUCUCAGCUCCUGAAUCUACAGACGUAAAUGAUAAUCCCUUUAGUACUUUCUCCUCUUUUGAUGUCUUGAGAGAAUCUGUCCUUCAGCUGAGAGACAAACUGGAGGAUUUCUGCAAAGAGGAGCUCAAGAAGAUCUCUGACAGAGGCAUUUUCCCCAACAUUGUUCCCAGGACUAGGAUACAAUAUUCCCAUCGGCUCACUCUGGAUCUGAACACAAUGAAUAAACGCCUCCGUCUGUCUGAGAGGAACAGAGUGAUUACUGGCACAAACGCAGAGCAGUUGUAUUCUGAUCCUCCAGACAGAUUUGAUCAUUGGGAGCAGAUGUUGUAUAGAGAGAGUGUGUGUGGACGCUGUUACUGGGAGAUUGAGUGGAGUGGAUAUGUGUAUAUAUCAGUGUCAUAUGAAGAGCAUCAGCAGGAAGGGACGGGGUAAUGAGUGUGUGUUUGGAUGUAAUGAUCAGUCCUGGAGUUUGGAGUGCUCUUCCUCCAGUUACUCAUUCAUGCACAAGUAUUUGAGCUCUUUUGGCCCGAAACCAGAGUAUUCCCCCCAGGUUGUGGUAAAAGUAGAUAGAACUAGAAGUGAGGAGAUGGGGCGGAGGAGGGAUGCUGAUAAACUCUGAGACGAACAGAGGUAAUUCUGCUGUAUAUAUUCUCUUGUCAUUGGUUGAUUGAUUAACUGAAUGCUCUCCAUGUGCGCUAAUUAGGUUCAUUAUCUGAACCUGCUCCUCCCGAACUUUGUUAAUAAAACAUCAUUAAGAAAUGUCUAAAUUAAGUGAGCUCUGCUUUAAACAAGCAAAAAUAUCUGUAAAAUAAUCUUAUUUCCAUAGGAAAAGCAUUUUUUGCAGUAUUGUUCAAUGGAAAUUAAAAGUGUUUUCUUUAUCUUCCAAGUUUCAGCAAAUAAAUUAGACUUGAACUUGAAAUUUUGUUUGUUUUUAGCAAGACUAUGAUAACUUACAAUAUCCUCUAGCCACUAUUUGACCUUUCUUUACUGGAAAUUGAAAAAUGGUAUUUUAGCAGUUAUAAAAGGACAUAUUCAGUAAAA